rnacentral:rRNA from 1 species
AUUGAACGCUGGCGGCAUGCUUUACACAUGCAAGUCGAACGGCAGCGCGGGCUUCGGCCUGGCGGCGAGUGGCGAACGGGUGAGUAAUGCAUCGGAACGUGCCCAGUAGUGGGGGAUAGCCCGGCGAAAGCCGGAUUAAUACCGCAUACGACCUGAGGGUGAAAGCGGGGGACCGAAAGGCCUCGCGCUAUUGGAGCGGCCGAUGUCGGAUUAGCUAGUUGGUGGGGUAAAGGCUUACCAAGGCGACGAUCCGUAGCUGGUCUGAGAGGACGACCAGCCACACGGGGACUGAGACACGGCCCAGACUCCUACGGGAGGCAGCAGUGGGGAAUUUGGGACAAGGGGGGCAACCCUGAUCCAGCCAUGCCGCGUGCGGGAAGAAGGCCUGCGGGUUGUAAACCGCUUUUGUUCGGGAAGAAAUCCUCUGGGCUAAUACCCCGGGGGGAUGACGGUACCGGAAGAAUAAGCACCGGCUAACUACGUG